UUAAGUUAUUAAGGGCGCACGGUGGAUGCCUUGGCACUAGAAGCCGAUGAAGGACGUUACUAACGACGAUAUGCUUUGGGGAGCUGUAAGUAAGCUUUGAUCCAGAGAUUUCCGAAUGGGGAAACCCAGCAUGAGUUAUGUCAUGUUAUCGAUAUGUGAAUACAUAGCAUAUCAGAAGGCACACCCGGAGAACUGAAACAUCUUAGUACCCGGAGGAAGAGAAAGAAAAUUCGAUUCCCUUAGUAGCGGCGAGCGAAACGGGAAGAGCCCAAACCAACAAGCUUGCUUGUUGGGGUUGUAGGACACUCUGUACGGAGUUACAAAGGACGACAUUAGACGAAUCAUCUGGAAAGAUGAAUCAAAGAAGGUAAUAAUCCUGUAGUCGAAAAUGUUGUCUCUCUUGAGUGGAUCCUGAGUACGACGGAGCACGUGAAAUUCCGUCGGAAUCUGGGAGGACCAUCUCCUAAGGCUAAAUACUCUCUAGUGACCGAUAGUGAACCAGUACCGUGAGGGAAAGAUGAAAAGCACCCCGGAAGGGGAGUGAAAUAGAACCUGAAACCGUGUGCUUACAAGUAGUCAGAGCCCGUUAAUGGGUGAUGGCGUGCCUUUUGUAGAAUGAACCGGCGAGUUACGAUUUGAUGCAAGGUUAAGCAGUAAAUGUGGAGCCGUAGCGAAAGCGAGUCUGAAUAGGGCGUUUAGUAUUUGGUCGUAGACCCGAAACCAGGUGAUCUACCCUUGGUCAGGUUGAAGUUCAGGUAACACUGAAUGGAGGACCGAACCGACUUACGUUGAAAAGUGAGCGGAUGAACUGAGGGUAGCGGAGAAAUUCCAAUCGAACCUGGAGAUAGCUGGUUCUCUCCGAAAUAGCUUUAGGGCUAGCCUCAAGUGAUGAUUAUUGGAGGUAGAGCACUGUUUGGACGAGGGGCCCCUCUCGGGUUACCGAAUUCAGACAAACUCCGAAUGCCAAUUAAUUUAACUUGGGAGUCAGAACAUGGGUGAUAAGGUCCGUGUUCGAAAGGGAAACAGCCCAGACCACCAGCUAAGGUCCCAAAAUAUAUGUUAAGUGGAAAAGGAUGUGGCGUUGCCCAGACAACUAGGAUGUUGGCUUAGAAGCAGCCAUCAUUUAAAGAGUGCGUAAUAGCUCACUAGUCGAGUGACACUGCGCCGAAAAUGUACCGGGGCUAAACAUAUUACCGAAGCUGUGGAUUGUCCUUUGGACAAUGGUAGGAGAGCGUUCUAAGGGCGUUGAAGCAUGAUCGUAAGGACAUGUGGAGCGCUUAGAAGUGAGAAUGCCGGUGUGAGUAGCGAAAGACGGGUGAGAAUCCCGUCCACCGAUUGACUAAGGUUUCCAGAGGAAGGCUCGUCCGCUCUGGGUUAGUCGGGUCCUAAGCUGAGGCCGACAGGCGUAGGCGAUGGAUAACAGGUUGAUAUUCCUGUACCACCUAUAAUCGUUUUAAUCGAUGGGGGGACGCAGUAGGAUAGGCGAAGCGUGCGAUUGGAUUGCACGUCUAAGCAGUAAGGCUGAGUAUUAGGCAAAUCCGGUACUCGUUAAGGCUGAGCUGUGAUGGGGAGAAGACAUUGNGUCUUCGAGUCGUUGAUUUCACACUGCCGAGAAAAGCCUCUAGAUAGAAAAUAGGUGCCCGUACCGCAAACCGACACAGGUAGUCAAGAUGAGAAUUCUAAGGUGAGCGAGCGAACUCUCGUUAAGGAACUCGGCAAAAUGACCCCGUAACUUCGGGAGAAGGGGUGCUCUUUAGGGUUAACGCCCAGAAGAGCCGCAGUGAAUAGGCCCAAGCGACUGUUUAUCAAAAACACAGGUCUCUGCUAAACCGUAAGGUGAUGUAUAGGGGCUGACGCCUGCCCGGUGCUGGAAGGUUAAGAGGAGUGGUUAGCUUCUGCGAAGCUACGAAUCGAAGCCCCAGUAAACGGCGGCCGUAACUAUAACGGUCCUAAGGUAGCGAAAUUCCUUGUCGGGUAAGUUCCGACCCGCACGAAAGGCGUAACGAUUUGGGCACUGUCUCAACGAGAGACUCGGUGAAAUCAUAGUACCUGUGAAGAUGCAGGUUACCCGCGACAGGACGGAAAGACCCCGUGGAGCUUUACUGUAGCCUGAUAUUGAAAUUCGGCACAGCUUGUACAGGAUAGGUAGGAGCCUUUGAAACGUGAGCGCUAGCUUACGUGGAGGCGCUGGUGGGAUACUACCCUAGCUGUGUUGGCUUUCUAACCCGCACCACUUAUCGUGGUGGGAGACAGUGUCAGGCGGGCAGUUUGACUGGGGCGGUCGCCUCCUAAAAGGUAACGGAGGCGCUCAAAGGUUCCCUCAGAAUGGUUGGAAAUCAUUCAUAGAGUGUAAAGGCAUAAGGGAGCUUGACUGCGAGACCUACAAGUCGAGCAGGGUCGAAAGACGGACUUAGUGAUCCGGUGGUUCCGCAUGGAAGGGCCAUCGCUCAACGGAUAAAAGCUACCCCGGGGAUAACAGGCUUAUCUCCCCCAAGAGUUCACAUCGACGGGGAGGUUUGGCACCUCGAUGUCGGCUCAUCGCAUCCUGGGGCUGUAGUCGGUCCCAAGGGUUGGGCUGUUCGCCCAUUAAAGCGGUACGCGAGCUGGGUUCAGAACGUCGUGAGACAGUUCGGUCCCUAUCCGUCGUGGGCGUAGGAAAUUUGAGAGGAGCUGUCCUUAGUACGAGAGGACCGGGAUGGACAUACCUCUGGUGUACCAGUUGUCGUGCCAACGGCAUAGCUGGGUAGCUAUGUGUGGACGGGAUAAGUGCUGAAAGCAUCUAAGCAUGAAGCCCCCCUCAAGAUGAGAUUUCCCAACUUCGGUUAUAAGAUCCCUCAAAGAUGAUGAGGUUAAUAGGUUCGAGGUGGAAGCAUGGUGACAUGUGGAGCUGACGAAUACUAAUCGAUCGAAGACUUAAUCAA
rnacentral:rRNA from 1 species